GCGGCCUCAGCUAGUCCGCCUCUGGCUGCCGCCGGGCUGCAGGGACUGCGCUCCGAAGCGCCUCCCCACGGGCCACCACCCAAGGACUGAGUUAUGAAGAAUAGGAAUCUGCAACUAUAUGAUGGCAUUUUAUAGGAUCGUGUCUUACUCACAAGUCUGGAGCUGUGGGAAUCCUUAGCACGGAGGAGCAGAUGAGGUUCCCUAGGAAGAACAUGUAGACCAAAAAGUGCAUCAGGCUGAGAGUUAGCAGAGGGAAAGUACCCACCAGAGGAGACAAAAAAGGUAGAGGAGAAUCGAAGAGAUCUGCGUGUGGAAUCCAAAGAAGAAAGUAACAGACCACAGUCGCCGGUAUUUUCUUUCCUCUUCAAAACCACUUCUGCUCCAAAGACCAUGAACCUGAACUGAAGAAACGACUCUUUCCUGCUGGUGUGAGAUAAUUCAGUCUCCAUGAUGUCUUAAUCCUGGGCCUCCCUUAAUUGACUUCUAACUGUGCUGAACUGUGGCUGCUAGGAGUUGCAAUGUGGAUCGCAAUUUACAAGGCACUGGAAUCGUUUCUCGUCCUCAAAUUAGUCCUGAGCCAUACUCGAGAAAGAUUAAAAAAAAAAAAAAAAAAAAAAGGUUUACCUUUCCUGGCUGUCUUGCCAUCUCAAAAUGGCCACAGAACUUACUCAGCUUUGAAGAGACUGGAUCCUCCAUUUGAGACCUGAAGACCCUCCAUCAUGCAAGACUGCCUGCCUGCCUAGAACUUUGUGGAGAGGCUGGUAUUAACAUACCAGGGCUCAUGGGUGAGCAUUCAGAUUGUUCUAUGAGGACGGUACAGUAUUGAUUUCCAGUUUACAUAAGACACUUGCUUGGAAACAAAUUACAGGUUUUACAGGGGCAACACACAUUGGCGUCAGGAGUGUUGGUUCCAGAAGACCGCUUGAGAAUCAAAUAUGCGCUCUACUGUGUCAGUGUCACCUAGGAGCUCUACUUAAGAGAAAAAGUGGAAGAGGAGAAGAAGUGGAUUACAUUUUUAAAAUUAUCAUCAACAUAAAUUGAGUCUCAG